CUGCGCACAAGUUCCCUUAGCAUCAACUGAAGCAGCCGAGAAACCGCCCCCCCUCCCCUUCCCUUUCUGUCUGUCUGUCUCACACACCCACACACGAACAUUACAUCUUCACAAAGCCAUUGGAUCUAGCGACGAUCGCGUUCCCCUUACCCCUUCUCGUCUUGUUGGUGCGUACUAGUGCUGCCAUGUUUGCUGGCGCGUAGGUGAUCAUCUCGUUAUCUUGUGCUGUUGCUGCUGCUUCUUGUCUGCGUUUUUUUUUUUGGCUUUUCAUGCUCCCAGCUGCGUGCACAUUCAUGUGCCUUUUGUGCUGCACAGUUGUUCGACCGUCAACCAUCUUUGACUGUUUCCCUCUCUCUUUUUUUUUGCGCCUUCUUUCACUGGAUCUUCGCCUUGGCAAUCGCUACAGCGAAAGACCACCACCACAACAAAAAGCGUGCCACCUCUUCCGCAACACGUGGCGCUGCUCUUCUCCAUCUCCUCUUUGGAUCUCCAGCCUGACGCAGUCGCUUCAAAGGCGUGGGCACAGCCAAAAGCUUUCUUCAUCGUGCCCCUCCGUCUCUCUCUCUUGUGCGCUUCCCUUGCCUUCUCCCUGCCGCACCCUUCCGUUUUCCAGCAUUUUUCUGCAUUCCAUAUUCUUUUCUUCCCCUCCUCCGUCAUCUUACACCAACCACAUAUUUUUUGUUGUAUUUCUUUUUGUCCCUCCCUCUCUCUCUGUGUGAGUGUGUGACAGGUUUACGGCUUUCUGAAGGUGUCUUUUUUGCACUGUAACAAAAAAAAAUCAUACAGAUCGUAGCCCAAGCCCUCCUCCUCCUCCUCCCCCCCGCGACGCACGUGUAGGACGCAUCAGAACAACAAGACGCAAAGCCGCCACAGUUUGAGUUCAGAGGUACGCUAUCAAGAGUCAGGGGAAACAGACAAGCGCUUCGAAAAGUAUCGGGACGAGGGAGAAACGAAGAGGGUUGUGCGCAUCCUUUUUCUUUGCGUUGGCAAGGCGCUUCUCAGCUUGUUUUGCCUUUCUGCAAGCAUUGCAAUUCCGCAUCUCUUCUCCCUUUCUGUCCACCCACACACCCAGCUACACAGACAUAAACACGCUUGACCGACUCAACAGGUCAUAGUGUUGCUCUAGUUUCCGCAUCUCUUCCCCACCCAGCGAGUGGAGUCUCUUUCUUCUUUCUCUGGCUUUCCCUUUUUAUUUUCUGUAACAGCCUAACCCCCCCCCCCCUGCAUUUCCACCUCGGUGCAUCUGUCUGUGGAUUCAUUGCGUCUGCUUUGUGUGCCAUACACGCUCCCUCCACCCCUCCCUCAGCUUCCGUUUUCUCCAUUCCUUCCUAAGUUACGCUCCCUCUCUAUUCAUAGAAGCCGUCGGUAUCGUCGCGUUUUAUUUUUUGUUUGUCGUUGUUUCGUAACGACUGGUAGACGAGAAGCCUUUACCCUACACCCCCUCCACACACACGCGCGCGCGCUGUAUUUGUGUAUGUAUAUAUAUUUUUUCGUUUUGGCUGCCCUUCCUUGUAGCCUUUUCUCCUUCUUUCUGCCAUACCUCGCCUCUCCCCUUGUUUUCCUUUUUCCUUUUUUGUUUUCUACGCCUUUUUUGCUCGUGUCUUUGCUCGCUCGCUCGUUCUCUCUUGCUGGUGUAACAUAGCAAGGUUCCCGCCUGUUGAGCUUCGCCUUGAUUCGUCACUUCUGUGUACUUGUAUUGCGUGUGCAUCAAGGCUUUUCUACCUUUUUUUUUUCCCUGCCGCUUUUGCUUUUCUUCUCCUACGUGCACUACCAGCCGUCCUUCUCAGCUGUGUUGGUGGGGUCGAUUCCAUUUUUUCUUUGUAUGCCGAAGAGGACCGUGUGCACGCUCCUUCUUUGUAUCCUGUUUUGUCGUCCGACCCCUUCUCUCUCGCCCUUUCCUAAUCUCCAUACCGCGCCCUCCUCUCUUCCAUCUCUCGCGCGUCACCAUCACACUCCUCUGCGGCUUUAACGUGGCGCAUUCGUCUUGCGCGCAGCUGUGCACAUAUACAUGUGUGUGCUUAUGUGUAGUAGUUGUCCUUAGUCGAGUUGUAUUGUUUUUCUUCCAUCUCCCCCAUCUCUCUCUCCCGCUUUUUCUUUGCCCUCUUUCGCCUUUUUUGUUGCUUUCUUUGUUGUGGCGCGCUGCACCGGCGACUCUCUUCGCUGAUCACUGCGACUGCUCUUGUUGUUGUUGACCCCCACCCCCUCCCCCUUCAGCCCUUUGUUCUUUCUCGAUAAAAGUACGUACAUUCUAUCUAAUAUUAUAUAUCCUACAUGGCAUAUCUAUAUGUGAUGCAUAGCAUAUACUGCAUGUAGCAUACAUUUGUCUUUACCUUUUUUUUUGCCUUUCAUCGAUUGCAUGAGUUGCCGAAGGCUGAUUUCGCACAGGCACACAGACACCAGCAAUCAAACAGUAGAGAGACCGACCGGAAGCUGUUUCAGUUGUCUUUUUCUUUUUUCCUUUUUGCGCGUAUGCCAGGGGGUGCUACAUCGCCGCCAGCCGCUCACUGAUCCUUCCGCCCGCCUUUCUAUCACCUUCAGCCUAUUUCGACGACCUUGCACACAGGAACACAAGGAGGAUCAAUCUAAGCCGAGAGGCAAGCACGGAAACCAACUUGGCACACAUUUGGGAACGGGUGUGCGUGUUUUGAGUGCGUCAUCGUUUCUGCCUCUUCACCUGUUGGCUCUCCUUCCUCUUCGAUCUUCCUUCUUUUUUUUUGUUGUGUGCGCACCCGAAGCGUUACUUCUCUCGCCUUGUGAGGACAUCCAUUGCGUCGAGACGUUUUACGCUACCUUACCAUCCAAACCCUCACUUGCCUCCUCUUUUACGCACCCCUGAAACAGCCGCCGACCUUCAACUGCACAGAGGUGAGGUCGAUAAGAUCCUCCUUUGACUCACCACGAGGAGACGGCCGGACAAGAGGUGUGCCGCUCCUUCUCUUCCUCUUUGCACGAUACCGCCUCUUCGACGCAGCUCUUGUUGCUGUUGCGUUUUUUUUUCUUCUUCCAUUGCCGCUCCCUCUCUCUGUGGGGAGAGGCACGUGUGCAUCACCUCUCAAUUUCGACCCGAUUCGGCUCUUUGGUGUGUGUGUGUGUGUGUGUGUGUGUGGGGCGCCGUUGUAGGCUCGCUUGUCGCCGUCGUCUCUCUUUGUCGAGCGCGCCCAGCGGAAGCGCGUCGCCCGCACGUCGACUACCCACAGACGAAAGUAACGGACCCGAAGCUCAUUUCACCCAGGCCAGCGUCUUUCCCCUCUUUAUUUCCUCUGCUGACUGGGGCGCACGGAGGAAAAGUACCGACUUUACGCUAAAGACUCCAGUUUUGUAGCUUGCACGCUGUAUACGCCAUGCCCGAGGGCUCUGAAACUGGUGCGAGCGCCAAGGGCGGCUCUGUCUUUGAAUGGGAGGAUAGACAGGGGCCAUUUUCUCCUAACCAACCCAUCGCGGAGGGGCUGGCAGAACGUGGAGACUGUGGCGAUCACAAUGACUAUAGAUGCGGUUCGACAUCGCAGAUGAGGGAGGUGAUCAAUAUGUCGCACACGUAUGACGUGUAUGUGGACGAGGGAAAGCUGGAACCGGUGAAUAGGCUUGCCGGCCAGAGUGAAAGCACGCACGGCGGCAGCAGCUACAGCAGGCACAAUCCUCUGUUCAGCGCCAAGGAGGAGGUUAAGAGGGCGGCGGUGCAUGAAAGUGUGAGCCCUAUAGCGAUUUUUCGCUACGCUGACACAGCUGACCGCGUUCUCAUGAUUGUUGGCACCAUCUUUGCAGUCUGCAGCGGUGCCGGCACGCCUUUGUUCUCUUUUAUAUUUGGCCGUAUCGCAACAGAUCUCAUGUCUGGCGUGGGCAGUGUGGAGCUCAGCGCGGCGAAGACGUCGUUGAUCAUGGUGUACGUCGGUAUUGGCAUGUUUGUGGCCUGUGGUGGCCACGUGCUAUGUUGGACGGUGGCAGCGUCUCGUCAGGAAGGGCGCAUCCGUCUGAACUUCUUUCGCGCUGUGCUGCGCCAGGACAUUGGAUGGCACGACGAGCACAGCCCUGGCGAGCUGACCGCUCGCAUGACGGGCGACACACGUGUGAUUCAGAAUGGCAUUAACGACAAGUUGUCGCAGGGUAUCAUGAACGGCGCCAUGGGUAUCAUCGGCUACAUCGCCGGCUUCGUGUUUUCGUGGGAGCUGACGCUUGUGAUGGUCGGCAUGAUGCCCUUCAUUAUUGUCAUGGCUGCCAUAAUCGGCAACAUCGUGUCCAAGAUGACAGAGUCGUCGCGCAAGCACUUUGCGAAGGCCGGAUCUCUGGCGACUGAGGUGAUGGAGAACAUCCGCACGGUGCAGGUGUUUGGCCGGGAGGACUACGAGUUGCAGCGGUUUGCUGAAGCGGUCCUGUACGCCCAGGACCGUGGUAUCCGCAAAGAGUUUGCGGGCAACCUUUCUGCGGCGGUGAUCAUGGCCCUCGUGUACCUCAGCUACACCAUCGCCUUUUUCUUCGGCUCCUACUUAGUCGAAUGGGGUCGCCGUGAUAUGGCGGAUAUCAUUUCUACCUUUCUAGCCGUGCUGAUGGGUAGCUUUGGCCUCGGGUUCGUGGCACCCAGCGCGACUGCAUUCACCGAGUCCCGUGCUGCCGCGUACGAAAUCUUCAAGGCGAUCGAUCGUGUACCACCGGUGGACAUCGACGCUGGCGGCGUGCCUGUAACGGGCUUUAAGCAGAGCAUCGAGUUCCGCAACGUGCGGUUCUCGUACCCGACUCGCCCAGACAUGAUACUGUUCCGCGACCUGAACCUGACGAUCAAGUGCGGGCAGAAGGUUGCGUUCUCUGGGUCGUCUGGGUGCGGCAAGUCGUCGAUGAUCGGGCUGAUCCAGCGCUUCUACGACCCUGUUGGCGGCGCCGUGCUGUGCGACGGCGUGGACUUGCGCGAGCUGUGCCUGCACGACUGGCGCGACCAGAUCGGGAUCGUGUCGCAGGAGCCGAACCUGUUCGCGGGGACGAUGAUGGAGAACGUGCGCGUGGGAAAACCGAACGCGACGGAGGAGGAGGUGAUCGAGGCCUGCAGACAGGCGAACGUGCACGACACCAUCAUGAGCCUGCCGGACCAGUACAAUACGCCCGUGGGUGCUGUGGGAUCGCAGCUGUCGGGCGGGCAGAAGCAGCGAAUCGCGAUUGCGCGCGCACUUGUGAAGCGGCCGCCGGUCCUGCUGCUGGACGAGGCGACGAGCGCGCUGGACCGGAAGUCUGAGAUGGAGGUACAGCGUUCACUGGACCAGCUGAUGCAGAGGGGCGGGAUGACCGUGAUCGUGAUUGCGCACCGACUCGCGACGAUCCGAAACGUGGAUUGCAUCUACUACGUAAAGUACGACGGCGCGGAGGGGAGCAAGAUUACGGAGAGCGGGACGUUUGACGAGCUGAUGGAGCUCGGUGGAGAGUUCGCUGCGAUGGCGAGGAUUCAGGGCGUGUCUACUGGUGACGCGAGGAGCGGCGCAAGGGGGCAGGACGGUGGCAAGGCAAAUGACUUCCUGAACGCGAUUCUGGACGAGGCGGCUCUUGCGCAACUGGACGAGGAGGCGCCGCGCACGGCGCGUCAGAAGGUGCCGAUCGAGGAGCUCGCGAAGUGGGAAGUGAAUGGUGUGAGCGUUGGCUUCCGGCGGUUGAUGGGAAUGAAUAAAGACAAAUCGUGGGCUGUGGCUCUGGGUAUUCUCGGCUCGGCGGUGGGUGGUGCCGCCCGACCUACGAGCACCAUCUUGAUGGGCUACAUGCUGCGCGUGCUUGGCGAGUACAGUGUUAACAAGAAUGUUGAACAACUACGCAGCGGAACCAACCUGUACGCUCCGCUGUUUAUUGUCUUUGCGGUUGCAAACUUCUUGGGUUGGAUUCUGCACGGCUUUUACGGCUACGCAGGUGAGCACCUGACAACGAAGAUCCGCGUGUUGCUGUUCCGUCAGAUCAUGCGCCAGGACAUGAACUUCUUUGACAUUCCCGGACGUGAUGCGGGCACCCUGGCUGGGAUGCUGUCCGGCGACUGCGAGGCCGUGCAUCAGCUGUGGGGCCCGUCGAUUGGUCUGAAAGUGCAGACGGUAUGCAUUGUUGCUUCUGGAAUUGUGGUGAGCUUCAUCUACCAGUGGAAGCUUGCGCUUGUGGCGCUGGCUUGCAUGCCGUUGCUCAUUGGUUGCAGCCUUGCUGAGCGUAUGAUGAUGAACGGGUAUACAAAGAGCAAGGAGGGUGACACAAGCGACACGAUUGUGACGGAGGCGCUGUCGAGCGUGCGCACGGUGACGUCGUUCAACAUGAAGGCGGAUCGCGUCGAGGCCUUCGAGGCAACCCUGCGAGUAGAGGUGCCGCGUAGUGUAAAAAAGGGCAUCAUUGCCGGCAGCAUCUAUGGCGCCACACAGUUUAUUUAUUACAGCGCCUACGCACUGUGCUUCUGGUAUGGUAGCAAACUGAUUGACAGGGGCGAGGCGCAAUUCACGGAUGUCAUGAUCGCGAGCAUGUCGAUCCUGUUCGGUGCGCAGAACGCCGGUGAAGCUGGUGCGUUCGCGACGAAGCUGGCGGAUGCAGAGCGCUCUGCGAAACGUGUGUUCAGCGUGAUCGACCGCGUGCCUGACGUGGACAUCGAGCAGUCCGGCGACAAGGAUCUGGGUAAGGGCUGUGACGUUGACUUCCGAAAAGUGCAGUUUAUCUAUUCUGCUCGACCGAAGCAGGUUGUGCUUGCGUCCGUGAACCUGCGGUUCGGCGACGGAAUGGCCAACGGGCUGAUGGGGCAGACGGGAUGCGGAAAGUCGACGAUCAUCCAGAUGCUUGCCCGCUUCUACGAUCGGCGCUCUGGGCUGAUCUGCGUGAACGGGAAGGACCUGUCGUCACUGGACAUCGCGGAGUGGCGGCGCAACAUCAGUGUUGUGCUCCAGGAGCCGAAUCUGUUCAGCGGGACUGUGCGGGAGAACAUCCGCUACGCGCGCGAGGACGCGACGGACGAGGAAGUGGAGGAGGCCGCGCGGCUUGCGCACAUCCACUGGGAGAUCAUGAAGUGGCCAGAUGGCUACAACACGGAAGUGGGGUACAAAGGCAGCGCGCUAUCUGGCGGUCAGAAGCAGCGCGUUGCGAUCGCUCGCGGGCUGCUGCGGCGACCGAAACUCCUGCUGCUGGACGAGGCGACGAGCGCGCUCGACAGUGUGACGGAGGCGAAGGUGCAAGAGGGCAUCAACGUGUACCAGGCGAAAUACGGGGUCACGUCGGUGAGCAUUGCGCACCGGUUGACAACGAUCCGCCACUGCGACCAGAUCAUCCUGCUAGACUCUGGGCACAUCAUCGAGCAGGGCAGCCACGAGGAGCUGAUGGCACUUGGCGGGGAGUACAUGAUGCGCUAUGACCUGUACACGAGCGCGAGCUCGUGAGGAAGGCUGGGCGCCGCGCGACUGCACAUGCCCGCGGCGGGGCUUUGCUCGUUACUGACUUUUUUGUGGCUUGUUUCUACCACGGAGGGAUCGUGGUUGCUUUGGGGCGACGCUUUCGUGCGCUCGGCUUCGGUGGCGCAGCUCUUGCAUGGCGCCUUUCGCUUACCAUACGCAUCGCCGAUGUCUUGGGAGCCAUUAGGGGCCACUUGUGUUCCCGGGAUUGGUGACGUCGUGCUUUUCUUUUCUGCCAGAUCUCACCACCGGUCACGCGCUUCACUUGCUGCUGCCGGCUUGCUUCUCUAUAAGUUUUUUUUCUUGCUUCGGCGCACUCGUGGGGCUGCUUGCGGCUCCUACCCAUCCUCUUGUACUGGCCGUGCUGGCUUCGGGAGAGUUUUUUCGCAUAGUUCUGACGCCCUCGGCUUGUGCUGGUGUUUUGUGCAACGAAUAAAAAGAAGGUGUGAGAGGCCUGCGCCUGCCUCGGACGGUUUUGCUUGCUCCCUUUUUCUCUUGUCUGCCGGCCCCCUCCCCACCCCCUCCUCUGGCGUACACGUCUUUGGAAGUUUUCUCUCUCCCCUUCCAGCGGGCCCCUCUGCUUUGAUGAUGUAUCCGUUCGUCUCCUUCUUUCCUUGUCUCCUCUUCCGUUGCAAGAACCUCCACUGACGAGCGAAGAAAAGAGAAGGGGCAUCGCAGAGUAGCGUGGUGGAAGGGAAGAAGCGAUAAAAAAUUGUACACGCGCCCACAAAGGCAAGAGACAAGCUCUAUGCCAGUGCUUGAGAGACGGAUGUUGUAUAAAGGAGGCGCUCGCGUGUGCUCAACGCCACUCUUCCUCCCUCCUACACGGUGAUCAAUGGCUUUCCCAUCUGUUUCGCCUUUGUUUCUCUUUUUUUUCGAUGGGCUCUUUCGCUAUCUAUGCCACCUGAUGCCUCCGCAAGGCACUAGGUGAAGGAGAAACAGCUCCUUUAUUUCCUGCUUUCCUCUGGUCCCUCAUCUUGCUGGGGGACGUUGCAUACGCAACGAGGCGAGGGGAUGGACCCGAGGCUGCAGAGGAUGUAGGAGUCUACCGCCCUCCUACCACAGUUCACCCCCCCUCCCUCCGCUGCUGCUUUCUCUGCUCUUGAUACCGGGGAAGUGUCCGCACUGCUGCUCGGCUGUGCUGCGCGUGCGUGUGUCGGCCUCUGUGUGUGCAUGUGUGUGCGGUUGUGUCUGGUAUCAUUUGCAGGAGAAGGCGUUCCCUUUUUUACCCCCCUUUCUGGCGUGUCCCUAAGCGGCUUCCGUUUUUCUCUCUUCCGGCUCCGACUCUCUUCGUCCCCGCAUCUCUCCUGUCUUUCCUUUUUAUUUUCGUUGUGCAUAUCCGAUGACUCUAGUGUCAGAGGCGAGUAAACGAAGUGGGGGAUGGGGAGGGUGUGGAUGUCGAGGUGAGAGGUCGAGAAGGAAAAGAUAUACGAGAAUCAGUGAAAGGGAUUUAUGUGUGCGUCCAUAUCCUAAUAAGGAGGCCACGCUACAGAGAGCGCAGGCAGCUCUGCCGUUGGCGCGCAUCUCGACAGAUACCGUGCCUCCAGUAUGGUGAAGCUGCUCCUUCCCUCCCCUCCUCCUCCGUCCCUCACCCCCCUUCUCUCCACACACAGACACACACUUUUGACUCGAUUCGUUUUCCUUUCCCCGUCUCUUCUGGCUCACGUAUAAUCUGCAUAGCACUGUGUUCUCUCUCUUCAACGAGUGUGCACCCAAACUCUUUCUAUCCUUUGCGUGACUGUUCGGCCUUUGUUUGAUGUUUUCCCUUUUUCCCCUUUUCCUGGUUUUCCUCUUCGUCUCGGAUGGCUUCUGCGUGUUCCGAUGUCUCACGCUUUCCCUCGCUUCUCCCCCUUUCCCACUGCAUCUCCCUACGGUUGCUUGGACUUCAUUUGGAUUGCGUCGUCUUCUGCUCACUCCCCCGUGCUCUCUUUUUCCCUUUCAUGUGUUUUGCUGGGACGCGCCAGUUGCGUCAUGCAGAACAGAUAGGAAGAUGACAAGCCAGGGGGGAGGCAGAGCUCGAGAAGAGGCGCAGAAAUGCAACUGCGCAUGUGCGCAUUUGUGCCUGCCGGACAGGAUACAGGAGGAGCGAGGGGGGAUCGUGGUAGACCAGGUCUGGACGUCUUCGCUUCGGAAACGGACUUGCUCGAUGCUGAAGCAGUGCCAUUGAGAGAGAACAAAAAUUUGAGCCCCCUCAAGAAAGGAACGAAUCAAGGGCCAAGGAUGACUGGCGGGGAGAGGGUGGAGCUGUCUGUGAAGGUAGAGCCAGGGGGCUGUGGAUGGGAGGAUGUCACACGAAAGAAAAAAGAGGGAGCGCGUGGGCGGGGCGGGGGAGGGAGGAGGGAAUACUAGGUUCGCUUGCGUGCACUGAACUGUCAGAUGAGCUUGCUGCCUUUUUCAUCUUAAGUUGUUCGUUUGUGCGCCUCACGGCUUCAUCGCUUUACUUUAUUGCUCCGCACUGCUGCCGGCCCUCCCUAUGUCCACUUCUCACUCAGUCGCCUGUCGCACCGGAUGGACGACCAUCUAAGCCUUGGCUCCGUCAGCCGCCACGAACGUGUUUCUAUUCUCUUUAUAGCCUAUUUUCUUAGUUUCUCGUUCGCGUCUCUUCCUCGGGCCUUCUUUGCCUCUUGUGCGCCUGUGGAGGUACCUGUCUGUGCACAUGCGCAUAUAUCCAUAUAUGCCCAUGCCUAAAUAUAUAUAUAUAUAUAUGCGUGUGAGCGGCGUGCCGGAAGGUGAGCCGUAUGAGCUCGCAAUCGGGGCGGUAGCGCUUGCCUUUACGACUUUUAAGCGCGUCCCCGACGAGCAGCAGAAGGGCAAGAGACGACACGUCUAACGAACAAAAAGAGCGAAAAAGAACAACUUGUCGCGUACUCUUUUACAGCUUUUGCUUCUAAUCGUCAACGCACGCGUUUCCGGUGAAGCCUACCGUGUGCGCGGUGUUCGCUCGUGGCGGUGGAGUGGAG
rnacentral:misc_RNA from 1 species